UCCUGGGCCGUGUAUUCAAUUGCGAAUAACACUCUUACCUAAAGCUGUUAUUGCUUGAGAAUACACGUCGCCGGA
rfam:Ixodes scapularis strain Wikel colony gcontig_1108379716490, whole genome shotgun sequence.